UAAUUCAACCCUUCUUUGAAUGUUCCUGA
rnacentral:piRNA from 2 species